GAUGAACGCUAGCGGCAGGCUUAACACAUGCAAGUCGAGGGGCAGCAUGGGACUGAGAUUCGUCGAAGUCUUGAUGGCGACCGGCGCAAGGGUGCGUAACGCGUGAGCAACCUUUCUCUCAGUGGGGAAUAACACAGGGAAACUUGUACUAAUACCGCAUGAGACCACAGCAUCGCAUGGUGCAGGGGUCAAAGAUUAAUCGCUGAGAGGUGGGCUCGCGUCUGAUUAGAUAGUUGGUGGGGUAACGGCCUACCAAGUCGACGAUCAGUAGCCGACCUGAGAGGGUGAUCGGCCACAUUGGGACUGAGACACGGCCCCAAAACUCCUACGGGAGGCAGCAGUGGGGAAUAUUGCACAAUGGGGGAACCCUGAUGCAGCGACGCCGCGUGAGUGAAGAAGUAUUUCGGUAUGUAAAGCUCUAUCAGCAGGAAGAAAUGACGGUACCUGACUAAGAAGCCCCGGCUAACUACGUGCCAG
rnacentral:rRNA from 1 species